CUUAUACUCCCUCUGUCCGGAAAUACUUGUCAAUAAAAUGGAUGAAAGGGGAUGUAUCUAGACGUAUUUUAGUUCUAGAUACAUCUCUUUUUAUCCAUUUUGAUGACAAGUAUUUUCGGACGGAGGGAGUACUUU
rnacentral:pre_miRNA from 1 species